rnacentral:rRNA from 1 species
CCUACGGGAGGCAGCAGUGAGGAAUAUUGGUCAAUGGACGAGAGUCUGAACCAGCCAAGUCGCGUGAAGGAUGACUGCCCUAUGGAUUGUAAACUUCUUUUAUAUGGGAAUAAAAUGUUCCACGUGUGGGCUUUUGUAUGUACCAUAUGAAUAAGCAUCGGCUAACUCCGUGCCAGCAGCCGCGGUAAUACGGAGGAUCCGAGCGUUAUCCGGAUUUAUUGGGUUUAAAGGGAGCGUAGGUGGAUUGUUAAGUCAGUUGUGAAAGUUUGCGGCUCAACCGUAAAAUGGCAGUUGAAACUGGCAGUCUUGAGUACAGGAGAGGUGGGCGGAAUUCGUGGUGUAGCGGUGAAAUGCUUAGAUAUCACGAAGAACUCCGAUUGCGAAGGCAGCUCACUGGACUGCAACUGACACUGAGGCUCGAAAGUGUGGGUAUCAAACAGGAUUAGAUACCCGGGUAGUC